rnacentral:lncRNA from 1 species
GUCCAGUAUGAGCGCCAAAUUAUCAAAUCUCGAUAACUCGUCCGGUAUGAGGCAACGUUCACGGUAGGGUUCCUUAUAUACCCGAUCUGUCCACCAUCUCCCAAGAUAUCCAGUAAGGCUAUCGUUCAUCCAUUUAUUUAAUCAAACUGUUUCCUGACUUUCUUUAAUUUCCAGUUUCUCAAUUCAACCAUAAUCAUAUGAAGCAAACAAUACAUGCAUUCAAGCCGUAAGAUCAAUCAGUCAGAUAUUAUCAUGACCUCAAACUGUAAAAUAAAUCAGCAGUGAAUAAUUUCUGGUUUUGGCUCCAUUAGUUACCUGUAAUCAAUCAUGAAUAUUUUCUAAACUUCCCAAAACACCGUAUUAUUAGUAUUAAUUAGACUUCAAUUCCAUAACAGAGAAUAAGGUGAAGGAUUUUUACUCAAAUUGAGACCUAAAGUGCUAAACUGGUUAACUGUAUCUACUGGCAGU